GACACGAAGGGUGGAAUUUUGCAGUUGCUUUUGUGAAUAAUUAAACAGGAUUAUAGUUUUACGUUUUUAAUAGUUAAAUUUCUUGUAUGAAUUAUAUUGUUUAACAUGUUUUUUGAGUUUUCUUCGAAAAAUUUCAUCAUAUUGAGGUGGGAUGCCGUGGAGAUAUUUACGCCGUGUUUACAAAUGGUCUACGAAAAAAUGAUGCAGAGAGACACAUUUGAAAUUCUUCACUAUCUUGACUGAAUGGUGUGCCACUAUUGUUAUGACUUUUGUCUAACAUGAGCAUUACGUAGUGGCAUUCUUUUCGGUUCUCAGUGUUUGUUUUACUGCUACAACAGGAUUUUGAAGUUGGAUGAUCCAACCAGCAAACCUUUGUUCCAGAAUUUAUGUACCUGCUUAGAAUUGUCUUACCUGAAAAUUAACACAAUUCUACGCUUACCUACACCCUGCUGUAUGAAUGGCAUUUUCAUCUUGCCUGAAAAGUGUGCAGUAUAUUGUGGCCAAAGCCUGCUUUAUUUAUUUAUUUUUUUAAAUAUUCAUCUUUAUCCUCUUAUACAGGUCUUAUAAAGAAAAUUAAUGUAUGGUAUCAGCACUGUUUGUGUUUCUUCAUUUUUUUUGCUAAUUUCCAACAAUAUUUCUUGUUAGUUAUGACUAUGAAAUUUUAAUCUGCAUUUUAGAAGUUAGCUACUUUGCAAAUUUAGUAAAUGUAUAUUGUUACGAAGUAAAAACAAGAAAGCCAGUACUAGUUUUAAGUAUGAAGAAUAUUAAAUUUCCAAAAUAUUUGUAAUUGAAAAUAUUAUCCAUAUUAUAUUUCUUGUAAUCACAUUGCUGAGAACACAUUCGUGUUAUUUCAUUGUUGCCUCAUUAUUUUAAAGUAGAGAAAUACUGUAUAUCUGACAUUGUUUAAACUGUAAUAUUUAUUUUUUGUUAAUGUCAAUUUAGAAUGGAUAUCUUUUGUGAAAUGUAAAUGCAAAUAAUUAUUACUUUAAAUAAAGUUGCUCCAAAAGAAAAUUAAUAUAGUUAAUGAUUCUGAAAUUAUGCAUAAAUUGAAAUUUAGUUUAUUUUUGACACAUGAUUUGAUAUAAAUGAUUAUUAUGGUAGCAUGUAACAAAGAAAUAAUUUUGUACAAUGCCUAAUGCUCCUGCAGCAUAACUUGCACUUAUUAUUUUUAUUAUAAUGCUUAAAAGCACUUAUUUUCAUGCAGCUUAAAUUUUUGCUAUCCUAUUUUGUUUACAGAGAUCAAGCUUCGCAAAACAGAAGGAUUUAUGUAUUGUGUUAUUACUUCACAUUUUUUAAUAUUGGUUGUAGUAUGGUACUAUACUAUAACUUUCAUUGCUUGUAUUAUUGUAUAUGAAAUAUGUUUACCAAUUUUCAACAUUUAAAUCAACUUCCAAUUGCCAAAACUUAUCGAAAACUGGAAACCCGGAUUUUCAGCUCAUGCAAGUACCAAAACUAAAUACCGAAGCUGUCUAGCUGCUGAUCCUAAUAUUAGACUCCAGCUAUCAACAAUUGCCCAAAUAUGUUAAAAUUGAGUCGUCAAAUUUGAAUUUUAAUGGUUUUCUUACUUAUUGAUUUCUGUCUGUUUAACUUGACGUUUACUCCAGAAUCUAAUUAAAGUUAACCAUUGUAAACUACCUAUCUUUUUGAGUUUUGUGUUCACUAUUCAUUAUUUUUUUAUAUUGUGGUCUUAUGUGAUAUUUAAAUAUUCAUUAUAUGUAGACUGGGCCAAUGUCAAUCUCUGCAAUUCUAAAAUCCUCCACUAAAGAUAUUUGCUGUUGUAUGUAUAAUGUUUGAUUUGUAGUGGUGCCUGAUGUACCAGUUUCUGUGCACUGAAUGCUUUCCUACAGGGAAACCAAGUGCUUAUGAAAUAUCCUAUUUUCUUUUGUAGUUUUUAGAAAUUGAAUUAUUUUAUUAAGCUAAGGGAAAUUGAAUGUUACAUUGUACCAAGUUUGAAAAAAAUGUAAUAUUGUUCUAAAGAAAUUGAUAUUAA